UAAGUUUAGCACAUUUCUAAUGAUGCUCAAGGAUAUGCAUGAUAGCCGGGAUAAAGAUGGAACCGCAUUGGUAAUAGAACCGUUACCCAUAAAUGAACUUAUUAAAGAGGAGCCAUCACUGAUUCUGGAUGUAAAGGAUGAGAUGACCACAGUAAACACCGUGGAUACACAAAAAUGUCAACUGGGCAAAACUGCAUCAAAACAGAAGAUGAAACUGAAAUCUGGGACAAAUAUGAUCCCAGAAAUUCAGCUUACCUCUUCUGUGUCAAAAAAUGCUCAAAGACCUAGCAAAAAAAAUUGUUUGAAAAAGAAAACCACUGAGAUCGCAGCAAACAUCCACUUGAAAGAUACAUUUGACAAACUUCACCUGCCCUCAGAAGAACCAGACUCCAAGUUCUCGGCUAAUGUGCCCAAAAAGCGUUGGCAAAAGUUUGGCCAAGUCAGUAACAAAGCAUUACAUGUAGUCAAAGGUACUUGUAUUAAAAAAACAGAACAAUUACCCUCAGAAAAUUGUGAUGUUUUGGUGGGUAAUACAAUUAAGUCUUGUCCUUUUGCGCCUGGGAAGGAAACUACCAUCAAUGCAUCUGAAAAUACUCAAGGCAACUCUCAAAAAAAUGACAUCACAACAGAAUGCAAACGUAUUAGAAAACCUAGCAAAAGACUCAUAGAAUGGACAGAGGAAUAUGAUCAAUUGUUUUCUACUAAGAAGAAAGCAAAAAAGAAACCUGAGUCCUUUACUAAGGUUGAAAACAACAACUGCAGUGGCCCAGUGGAGAAAACAUCUGGCGAAAGUAUACAGAAACCUCAGGUGACAGAACAAUGUGUGUCAAGACCCAUGCCAGAAUUGCAGACUCCUCCUCCAGAAGACCUGUCUCGGAGCACUCCUUCAAUAAAUACCACGCCAUGUCAAGAGAGACAGGUGUUGUCUGUAGACACGCUAACUCCACUUCCAGAAACAAUCCCAUCCCCAUGUGGUGAAAUUUGUCAUA
rnacentral:lncRNA from 1 species